UCUGGUUGAUCCUGGCGGAGGUUACUGCUAUCGAGGUUCGACUAAGCCAUGCGAGUCGAAUGUAGCAAUACAUGGCGUACUGCUCAGUAACACGUGGACAACCUACCCUUAGGUCGGGGAUAAACCCGGGAAACUGGGUAUAAUACCCGAUAGUCCUCGGAUGCUGGAAUGCACCGAGGUCUAAAGCUCCGGCGCCUAAGGAUGGGUCUGCGGCCUAUCAGGUAGAAGUGGGUGUAGCGUACCUACUAGCCUACAACGGGUACGGGUUGUGAGAGCAAGAGCCCGGAGAUGGAUUCUGAGACACGAAUCCAGGCCCUACGGGGUGCAGCAGGCGCGAAAACUUUACAAUGCUGGAAACAGCGAUAGGGGGACCUCGAGUGCCAGGUUACAAAUCUGGCUGUCGUGAUGCCUAAAAAGCAUUGCAUAGCAAGGGCCGGGCAAGACCGGUGCCAGCCGCCGCGGUAACACCGGCGGCUCGAGUGGUAACCGCUAUUAUUGGGUCUAAAGGGUCCGUAGCCGGCCGGAUAAGUCUUUUGGGAAAUCUGGCAGCUUAACUGUCAGGCUUUCAGAGGAUACUGUCUGGCUCGAGGCCGGGAGAGGUGAGAGGUACUUCAGGGGUAGGGGUGAAAUCUUGUAAUCCUUGAAGGACCACCAGUGGCGAAGGCGUCUCACCAGAACGGACCUGACGGCAAGGGAC
rnacentral:rRNA from 1 species